GAGAGAGCCCAGAGUGGUUGACGUCAUCUUUGUUUGUGUGCAGAGCAGGAUGGAGAGAGAGGAGAGAGGUGGAGGGAGAGAGAGGAGAGAGAGAGAGGAGAGAGAGCAGAGAGGUGGAGGGAGAGAGAGGAGAAGGGAGAGAGAGGAGAGAGAGAGAGAGAGAGAGAGAGAGAGAGAGGGAGAGGGGGAG